CUUCUCCCUCAUUUUUAUAUUUUCUUCUCCUUCACUUUCUCUUGCUCAUCUUUCCUGUCUUUAUUCUCUCUACUCCCACCUUCCUUUUUCCCAGUCUCUAUCAGCAUCUUUAUGUACUAAUAAUGUGUACUAAAAUGUAUUCUACUUUUAUUAGGUGACUGGUAGAGGUCCAGAUCCAUGAGUGGUACAGUCAAGACCAGAAAACUUCUGUUCUUGUGGAUCCAUGUGUAGAAAAGGCAAUGACAUUACUCUAUUAAAAUAGGCUGUCUACAGGACUGCAUGGAUGCCCAUGUUGAAGACCUUAUGACAAUAACAAAAUGGAUCCAGUGUGUACAACUGAAUACAGUGCUAAUCAAACUUGGAUACGUUUGGACUUGCAUGAGGGAAAAGCUGACAAGGCUGACUGAGCACAUCUGCCUAGCUGUUUCUUGCAGUUCCUGAGAAAUGACUCAGUAUUCACUUAAGGCCAAAAUGCUGGAAUUGGAGAGUCAAUAUGGCAGCAAAAACUUCAGCUUCUGUAAUCAACUUGAACAGAGUGGUUGCUCAUGCUUCUCAAAAUAACAUUCAGGUUGACAGCACCAGCUUCUUAUAACUGAUGAAUUGCAGCAUUACCACUUAGCAGUACCUGAGCAACAUCCUGUCUAUGAAAAGCAAAGUCAACCAAGGAAUUUGACUUUAUCUAUAUGGAGCCUUUUCCAAGGUGUGUUGUGUUACCAGCAAGGCAUUCUUAAGCCUUAUUUUUCAAACUUUGCAUGUCUCUUCAAACUAACUUUUGAUACCCACGUUCUGAGUGUGCAGAGCUUUCAGAACUGAGGGUCAAAUCCAACUCUUGAUGAAGAAAGAGUAGCAGAAAUGUUGCUGCUGUAGAGUUCCCAUGUGAAUAAAUGGAGUUUAAUUUGUUAGGAUUUUGUUUUGUUUGCUUGGUAUAUUUUUUAAUCUUCUCCCUAAAAAGAAAAAGAAUACAUCUCAGUUUUCUGCCAGACUCUCCUUCACACUUUUUCACUCUGACUGCAUUCUAGUAUUGUUCUUUCUGGUUAUUCAAACUGAGGAAAAAUGUUCUUUUAUCCUUAAACAUUUUUCCUUUCUACUCUGUGCAUCAAAAUGUGAGAACUGUUUAUAAAGCUUUAGCUCUCCAUUUGUGAGAACAGAAAUCUGGGCUCUGCUGUUGUAAAAGGGGAUGAAUAAUGUCUACUGGCCAUGUUCUUACCUAAAAAUACCUGAUACAAAUGCACAUCCUUUCACAGUGGAAGGUCAGUGUUGUGAUAGUGAAAUUCAGUUCAGUUUAGUAUUGAAAAGUAAUUUGAGAACACUGUGCUGAAAACUAUUCCCUGAGUCCCUGCAGGGCAUCCAUCAUCUGGGGCUUCCUUUGUGUAUCUUUUCUGACUGAUCCAGAAAAGGGGCUUGCAGGAAGACACAUGUUAAUAAAUAAUGCUUCUUCUUUUGUCAGCUGAAGACUCUCAUAUGACUUCAAGGGAUAUUUCUAGCUCAUUUUCAUCUCUAGAGUUUGUCCUAGAAGUGAGUAGCUCUGCUUACAAAGUUGCUUAUGACCUGGCAAUGUUUUAAUACUCUAAUGGUUACUGAAAACGUGUGAAGAAUCUGAAUAAAGAAGAAAAAUGGUAGAAGAGUUGAGGAGAUAAGAAAAGGCACUGAGUGUAUAGUGAAUGUAAAGGGUCUCUCAUUCACAUGCUUUGGAAUAUGCUCAUCCUUUAUAAAUAUUUCAGUUUGUUCAAACUGACUUCUCUAAAUUAGCAGUUCAAAGAUAAAUUUAUAGG